rnacentral:rRNA from 1 species
ACUCAAAGGAAUUGACGGGGGCCCGCACAAGCGGCGGAGCAUGCGGAUUAAUUCGAUGCAACGCGAAGAACCUUACCAAGGCUUGACAUACACCGGAAACGGCCAGAGAUGGUCGCCCCGUAAGGCUGGUGUACAGGUGGUGCAUGGUUGUCGUCAGCUCGUGUCGUGAGAUGUUGGGUUAAGUCCCGCAACGAGCGCAACCCUCGUUCCAUGUUGCCAGCACGUAGUGGUGGGGACUCAUGGGAGACUGCCGGGGUCAACUCGGAGGAAGGUGGGGAUGACGUCAAAUCAUCAUGCCCCUUAUGUCUUGGGCUUCACGCAUGCUACAAUGGCCAGUACAGAGUGCUGCGAAACUGUGAGGUGGAGCGAAUCACUUAAAGCUGGUCUCAGUUCGGAUUGGGGUCUGCAACUCGACCCCAUGAAGUCGGAGUCGCUAGUAAUCGCAGAUCAGCAACGCUGCGGUGAAUACGUUCCCGGGCCUUGUACACACCGCCCGU